AACGAACGCUGGCGGCAGGCCUAACACAUGCAAGUCGAACGAGAAGCCACCUUCGGGUGGUGGACAGUGGCAGACGGGUGAGUAACGCGUGGGAACGUGCCUUUCGGUUCGGAAUAACCCAGGGAAACUUGGGCUAAUACCGGAUACGCCCUCCGGGGGAAAGAUUCAUCGCCGAAAGAUCGGCCCGCGUCGGAUUAGCUAGUUGGUGGGGUAAUGGCUCACCAAGGCGACGAUCCGUAGUUGGUCUGAGAGGAUGACCAGCCACACUGGGACUGGGACACGGCCCAGACUCCUACGGGAGGCAGCAGUGGGGAAUAUUGGACAAUGGGCGAAAGCCUGAUCCAGCCAUGCCGCGUGGGUGAAGAAGGCCUUAGGGUUGUAAACCCCUUUCAGCGGGGAAGAUAAUGACGGUACCCGCAGAAGAAGUCCCGGCUAACUUCGUGCCAGCCGCCGCCGUAAGAC
rnacentral:rRNA from 1 species